rnacentral:rRNA from 1 species
CCUACGGGAGGCAGCAGUGGGGAAUAUUGGACAAUGGGCGAAAGCCUGAUCCAGCAAUGCCGCGUGAGUGAUGAAGGCCUUCGGGUCGUAAAGCUCUUUUACCAGGGAUGAUAAUGACAGUACCUGGAGAAUAAGCUCCGGCUAACUCCGUGCCAGCAGCCGCGGUAAUACGGAGGGAGCUAGCGUUGUUCGGAAUUACUGGGCGUAAAGAGUACGUAGGCGGUUAUUCAAGUCAGAGGUGAAAGCCCGGGGCUCAACCCCGGAACUGCCUUUGAAACUAGAUAACUAGAGUCUUGGAGAGGUUAGUGGAAUUCCGAGUGUAGAGGUGAAAUUCGUAGAUAUUCGGAAGAACACCAGUGGCGAAGGCGACUAACUGGACAAGUACUGACGCUGAGGUACGAAAGCGUGGGGAGCAAACAGGAUUAGAUACCCUGGUAGUCCACGCCGUAAACGAUGAUAACUAGUUGUUCGGUCACUUGGUGACUGAGUGACGCAGCUAACGCAUUAAGUUAUCCGCCUGGGGAGUACGGUCGCAGAUAAACUACAAGAGUAGUAGACGNGNGAGAGCGACGACGACGACGAGGAGGAGAG